AUUGAACGCUGGCGGCAUGCCUUACACAUGCAAGUCGAACGGCAGCACGGACUUCGGUCUGGUGGCGAGUGGCGAACGGGUGAGUAAUGUAUCGGAACGUACCUUUCAGUGGGGGAUAACGUAGCGAAAGUUACGCUAAUACCGCAUAUUCUGUGAGCAGGAAAGCAGGGGAUCGCAAGACCUUGCGCUGAUUGAGCGGCCGAUAUCAGAUUAGCUAGUUGGUGAGGUAAAGGCUCACCAAGGCGACGAUCUGUAGCGGGUCUGAGAGGAUGAUCCGCCACACUGGAACUGAGACACGGUCCAGACUCCUACGGGAGGCAGCAGUGGGGAAUUUUGGACAAUGGGGGCGAACCCUGAUCCAGCCAUGCCGCGUGAGUGAAG
rnacentral:rRNA from 1 species